AUGAGCCUUCUCCUAGCCUUGGAGCUGCUGCUGCUCCUGCUCGCCUUGCCACGCCUUACUUGUGCCUCAAAUUCCACGCAUCCGUCACUGUAUCGGCAAGCCAAGGCACUUCUCCAGUGGAAAUCAAGCCUAAAGGGAUGGAGCUCUGAGCUGGACUCAUGGACAAAGGGAACCAACCCCUGUGACUGGACGGGGGUAGGCUGCAGCAACGCCGUGCUGCCCCGUGGUGAUGCUGUCCUAGUUGUGGACAACAUUUCACUUCCGUCCUGUCACAUUCAAGGCAGGUUGGACAAUCUCCACUUUGCACACUUGCCAUAUUUUGUCUAUCUAGACCUUAAUUUCAAUUUUCUCAUGGGACCAAUCCCGUCAAGCAUUGGCGUUCUGCCCGAGCUCGCUUACUUGAAUCUGUCCUCCAAUGGCCUGAACGGGUCUAUUCCAACUUCCCUAGACUUGCCUCAUCUUGUUUAUCUGGACCUCCGUAAGAACUCGCUCCUGGGCCUAAUCCCAUCAAGCAUUGGAGCUCUUGUCAAGCUCGUGUUCUUAAAUCUAUCCUACAAUUUUCUCAAUGGAGUUGUUCCACCAUCCAUAGGCGGCGAUCCGGAUUGCAAAUAA
rnacentral:rRNA from 1 species